GGGCCCGUGGUGUAGCGGAAACACGCCGCCCUUGCAAGGCGGAGAGCGAGGGUUCGAAAAUAAAUUUAUUAGAAAUUCCCUCCGGGUCCACCA
rnacentral:tRNA from 1 species